UACGUAGGGUGCGAGCGUUGUCCGGAAUUAUUGGGCGUAAAGAGCUCGUAGGCGGUCUGUCACGUCGGAUGUGAAAACUCGGGGCUCAACCCCGAGCCUGCAUUCGAUACGGGCAGACUAGAGUUCGGUAGGGGAGACUGGAAUUCAUGGUGUAGCAGUGAAAUGCGUAGAGAUCAUGAGGAAGACCAGUGGCGAAGGCGGGUCUCUGGACAGUUCCUGACACUGAGACACGAAGGCCAGGGGAGCAAACGGG
rnacentral:rRNA from 1 species